CGAAACCACGUUUCGAUAAAUCAUUCAAGUUCUGACCUAUCAUGCUCUCGAUGGUAGUGUAUUGGACUACCAUGGCAGUCACGGGUAACGGAGAAUAGGGUUCGAUUCCGGAGAAGGAGCCUGAGAAACGGCUACUACAUCUACGGAAGGCAGCAGGCGCGUAAAUUACCCAAUCCUAAAUCGGGGAGGUAGUGACAAGAUAUAACAACGCGACUAAAAAUCGCGAUUGUAGUGAGGGUAUUCUAAACAUAGCUUCGAGUACGAUUGGAGGGCAAGUCUGGUGCCAGCAGCCGCGGUAAUUCCAGCUCCAAUAGCGUAUAUUAAAGUUGUUGCAGUUAAAAAGCUCGUAGUUGGACUUCAAGAAGCGCAUCUGGGCAACCAGUUUGCCUUCUACCAGCCCUAG
rnacentral:rRNA from 1 species